AUGAUGGUGAUGGAUUUUUGGCGGCAGCGAGGAGCAGCGGGAGGAGAAGCUGCUUCAGCGGCGGCGAGGAGCAGAGGGAGGAGAAGCUGCUUCAGCGGCGGCGAGGAGCAGAGGGAGGAGAAGCUGCUUCAGCGGCGGCGAGAAGCUCCUCCGACCACCAUCUGCUGCUGCUUCUACUUCCCCGACGAUGGUUUAAAUGUUGCAGAUUUACUGAAGAUGCGGCUCCUGAUCAUGUGGGUCGUCAAGAUUCUUGAUGUGGUUGAAGCUCCUGAAGAUGUUGAUCAUGUGGGUGCUGAUCGCAUGCUGCUGUGUCUGCCUCUUAGCUGUGUUGCUUUUCCUUGCUCUGGGCGAUGCGAGGAGUACCUGGGAGAGGAGCAACUGGGCGCGAGGAGGAGGGCCAGGGUGCGGCGACGACAAGGCUGGGCGCGAGGAGGGGCGCGGCCAGGCGACGGGGAUGAGUUCCUGGACGAACGGCUGACGAGGGGGCGAGCGCCUGGAUGCUCUCUUUGCAUGCUGUUACCAUCUCCUAGCAGUAUAAACGAAUAUACAGAUUGA
rnacentral:rRNA from 1 species